CUACACUGAGAGUUUUCUGACUUUCUGAACAUGGGCAACAUCAAACACGGUCUCAUCAGCUUGUUACUAUUUCUGCUCUGCAUAAAAGGUCUUAUUGAUGGGAGUGACAUCACCCAGACGCCGGACAUACUAUGGGAAAAACAGGGGUUGAACGCAACAAUGAGCUGCAGCGACACCAAAGGUUCUGGCUACUUCCAGAUGUACUGGUACAGACAGCUGCCAGGAGAAAGAAUUAAACUGAUCGUGUUCACAAGACUCGGAAACAAAAACCAUGAUUUCGGAGUUUUCAGCAAAGAGAAAUUCUCAGCCACCAAGCCUGACGCUGCGAGUGGGACAUUCACAGUGAAGAAUCUGGAGCCUGGAGAUAAAGGCUUGUAUUUCUGUGCUGGAAGUGAACACAGUGAUACAGAGACAUUCAACAGCUGA